rnacentral:rRNA from 1 species
AUGUGUCCAAUGGAGUUAAAUGGUCCUCCAUUUGGUCAACCAACAACUCCAGCACCUGUUGUGCAAUCUCAUGUGCAAGUGCCCACACAAGUGCUCACACUUUUGAGUCUCGAGUUCACUUGGAGUGUCGAGGAUGAUCCUAUUAGGAAGGUUAUUCUGGAGGAAAUGAAGAAGAUCAAGAGUGGAAAAGAGCUAGUGGAAGAAGUAAGGAAGAUUGAGAAGAACAUCAACGUUGGCAGUACUAUCUCUUCCCUCCUUGAGUUGAGUGUUGCUGGGAUAUCCCUUGAGGUGUGUGAGAUUCCAAUACCGUCACAUCCAGCUCAGCAAGAUAGCAAGUGCCUUGAGCAAGAGAUAACUCAGAUUGAAGAAGAUGAACUAGAAGACAAGGAACAAGAUGAUCAAGAGCUGCAAUUCCCAAGUGAUCAAGUUGAAGACUCGUCAUCUACUACUCUUGAAGAAUUACUUUCCUCAUGCUAUCUAUGCUUAAUGAAACAUAUCAUUCCCAUACUAAUCUUGAGCUUAAUGAUAAAUAUCAUCCUCAUGUUAGUGUUGACCUUGCUGAUUUCUACCAUCCUAAACAUGUGCUUUAUAGCUAUGCUUAUGUAA